rnacentral:rRNA from 1 species
GUUGACCUCGGAUCAGGUAGGGAUACCCGCUGAACUUAAGCAUAUCAAUAAGCGGAGGAAAAGAAACCAAC